rnacentral:rRNA from 1 species
CCUACGGGAGGCAGCAGUGAGGAAUAUUGGUCAAUGGGCGGGAGCCUGAACCAGCCAAGUCGCGUGAGGGAAGACGGUCCUACGGAUUGUAAACCUCUUUUGCCGGGGAGCAACGGGGUCCUUGCGAGGGCCCGAUGAGAGUACCCGGAGAAAAAGCAUCGGCUAACUCCGUGCCAGCAGCCGCGGUAAUACGGAGGGUGCGAGCGUUAAUCGGAAUUACUGGGCGUAAAGCGCUCGUAGGCGGUAUGUCAAGUCAAGGGUGAAAUCCCCGCGCUCAACGUGGGAACUGCCUUUGAAACUGGCAAACUGGAGUGUGUGAGAGGAUAGUGGAAUUCCAGGUGUAGGAGUGAAAUCCGUAGAUAUCUGGAGGAACAUCAGUGGCGAAGGCGACUAUCUGGCACAUAACUGACGCUGAGGAGCGAAAGCGUGGGUAGCAAACAGGAUUAGAUACCCUUGUAGUC